rnacentral:lncRNA from 1 species
GAAAAUACGUGAUGUGAUGCAGGAUAAUUGAAAUUCAGUUUAGAUCAUAAUGAAAUAUUGAAGAAUUCAAUUUGAAGUAUACAGCUCAUUUGUUUGCUAUAAUAACACAAGCCGCCCAAAAUCUCCCAACAAUAUUUUAAUGACGAAAUAUGAUGAAUAAACAAAAAAUUAAGAUGGAUAGAGAAGAUUAGUUCCAAAUAUAGAAGACGGAAUUUGUGAAGUUGAAGGCUGAUUAUUUCCAUUGCAUUUAGCGAGCAUACAAUACAAGGUUGUGGAUUUCAAAAUUAGAUAGAAAGAUAAAUCCUUAUUAACCAAAGCAUUGAGCAGUAGGAAGCGGGCCGGGAAUGGAUCCCUGCUGAAAGAAUUGGAAAGCAAAGACAAGGAUGAUGGCUAAGAAGGAGAGAUAGGAGAGGCCCUCAACAGCUCCCAAUAGGCCAAAGGGCCCGUUGGGGAGGCCCGAGCCCGUCUUGGUCUUGGUGUAGAGCGACCACGCCACAAUGCCCACCACCACCAGGUAGCUCACUCCUUCAAGUGCGCCUAUAGACCCCGCUGGCCCGGGCGGAAGUCCGCACCCAGUUGUCUUCAGCGUGUAAAGGGACCAACCGAUCACCGGCGUCGCCACUAGUCCGCCCACGAUGGCGCCGGCCUCUACGGCGGUGACGCCGCUCUCCUUGGCCAUGCCCUGUACUUUGAGCAUUGGCGGCUGCCUCAAUUUGGUGAAUUUAUGGCGGCUGGUUGCCGGCGCCGACCAAGGCGAAAAUUGUAACAGCAUCAUUUGGAGACGAUUUGCUGUUGAGCUUAAGCUUUUCCGAUGAAAUUUCGUUUAUUAUUGGUCACCUUAUCCACUUUCAACGACACCAAUUUCAGGAUUGCUAAACCACAUGAUUUCGGGCUUUUUCGGCAUUUUACACUAGAGAUAGAUAGGGCCAGGGGCCUGUUUGUUGCCAACAGGAAAAAAUAUAAUCCUUUUUUUUUUGGAAUGAGCUACACCUAAAUUCAUUUAUAUACAUACCAAGUUUAUUAUUUAUAUAAUUGGUUGUUAUUAAGAUAUUCAAUUAUUGAAAAAUAAAAGAAAACAUCCACGAUAGCCAAAGUUGUUAUUUUAAUACCACUAAAUAAAUCUGUGAUAGAAUUGGAUUAUUUGCAAGUGACAAAAAAGCGAGUACACCAGCACAGCCUAAUUCAUUAGGACAUUUUGAAUAAGCAAGCCCAAAAAUAAAUCCAAAGUGGUUGGCGAAGGGCUGGGCUGAUUGGCGCAAAAUGCUAAAAGCCCAUCAUGUAUUCCCCACAGCACGAGAGCCUAGCCUUCAAUCACCUGCAAGUUCACCAAUAAUUACUUUCAGCUAGUAUAAAAAAAUUAAAUAACUCCAUGACAAUGGAUUCAUGCAUAUGCACGUGCUCACAAAACGACGCCGCCUUGGCAAUUUUUUUGACUGAUCCAGUAGAAACAUACACGUUUGUACAAGUUUUUUCAAUUUCUUUUUUCCCUCUAAAAAAAAUGUUUAAAAAAAUGCGAAGAGAGUUUCGAGUAUUUUCCAAUUCUUUCCUUUCCUUUUCUGCCGUCGCGACAACUGAGUUGCGGAGCGAGUUGAAUCACAGGCACAGGCACAACUGAAGCGAAGCGGGAAAUAAACCACUUUUUAAACAUUCAUUUUCAUGCUGUCCACCCAUAACAUAAUUUCCCUCCAAAAUAUUGUCUAGGGACACUUGCAAACCAUUACUAAUUUCAAGUUUUCCACCCUUGUUGGAUAUAAACACAACCGCCAUUUUCUAUCGGUGCUUCGAUGACUUGCUGUACUGCACGAUGUCGGCUUCUUCUUCCUCACCAUCAUCCCCAUCAUCAUCAUCAUCAUCCCCAUUUCUCUUCCUUUUAUUAUUAUGGGAAGAAGAUGAAGGCGGCAAUUCCUGGACCUCACCAUCUUGGUCAUCUUCAUCUUCAACAUCUUCCUCCAAUUCAGGGUCUUCACCUUCUCCCACAUCACUACCCCCAACAGCAACACCAUCUUCUGCUUCCACCCGCUCCACUGGUUGAACCAGGUAUCCAGCAGACCCAUAAUCAUCUUCCUGCAAUCAACCACCCAACAAAUAAAUCACCGGCCGUGAAAACUCAAACUACACACACCUAAAUCUAUAAUCUAAACAAACAAAAACCACCACGAAACUGCAGCAAAUUUAAAGAAAAAACUGCUGAACAUGGUCAAAACUAACACACAGAAAAGAUCCCUCGACACUAAUCAAAAAGGGCAUUGCAUACACACUGGGAUACAGAUAAUUAAAGAAAAACCUAGUUCAAGUCUCAGAAGGUAAACCAAUAGGUAGCACUCCACUUUCACCUGAUACUGAAACCAUUGGUCAUAAACGAAUUUCGCCUAGUACUCCAUAUGUUCAUUGCACAUUGCUUAACUAAAAGUGAAUACAUGGCACAACAUUCAUAGACACUAUAUGUCCAAUACUAUGUUUGUUCCUUCCUGACAUCAUAGAGGGAUUCAUAUGUUGGGUUAAGACACAAUUUACAUUAAUUCAGAGAAACUCUGGAUAUCAUUUCAAUAAAAACAAGUCAUGCAUCCUGCAACAUUAUUGAAUCAUAAAAAACAGAGGCAAAUGCAAUUAAAUUAAGAGAAUCAAAACAGAUCUAGUAUUACAAUAAAAUUCUCAAAUAUGGUGCAAGAACAAAACAAAUUGUAACAACCAAUUCUAAAAAAUAAAAUCAUGCAUUAAAAGCGCCAGGGAGUUGGGUGGUUCCAAUAAAUCAAAACCACAGUUAUGCCACCCAAUUGUUUUUUACCUGGAAAACAUAAAACUUGAAUAAAAUCACACAUUUUGAAAAAAAGGUACUUCCAGUACUUACAAAUAAAAUUAUUAAAACCAAUGAUCUCUACUUGAAAAGAGAGGGGGAAAAAGAACACACUCGAUUAAAAUAAAUAUUUCCAAUCAAGCGCUGGGAAAAAAAGAAAUGGAUUUUCCAGUAAGUUUAAAUCAACAAUAGUAAACCCAUUUUUAACCAGAAAAUAGGGAGCAGAUAACUGUGUAGAUCAAAUUUUCAAAAAAUUUUGAUUAGGCAAGCUUACUGAAACAGGGAGCACAUAAAAUUUUGAUUAGGCAAGCUUACUCAUCAAUAAGUCAAAAACGCAAGUUUAUUAACAAAGAUAAAGUCAAAUCUCAAGAACAAGAUUGAAAGGCAGUUUCUUUACAACAGCAGGCCAUCUUGCAAAGGUUUAAAUCACCCAAAAACCUUGUAUGUGUCACUGCCACAUAAAAGCUGCAAAAAGCCCUUAAUCUUGCAAUGUAUGACAGACAAGGCAAAGCAAGUUUUGAGAAACAGAAACAUAAAAUGACCGAGGAUGUCCAAGAAAGGCAAAACAUGAGUAAUUAACAAAAACCACUAGACGGUAAAGAAAAACAUACUGCUAUUCAAUUUUAAAUAUAUAUGUAUAUAUAAAAGUGAGUUUGCUUUUACUUUCGGUUCUCAAUUCACAGAAAAAAUAUAACCAGAUUGACAAACCACAUUAAAUAUUUGAUUUUCAAGAUUGUUGGAUAAAAAGUGCCUUUGCUUUUAAUUUGGGCUAAGCUACUGGUGUGCUCAUAGUGAGAUUGAGCGACUAAAUAUAUGCAUUUAUCUCUAAAUUCACCUGCCAAACAGAAACACACAACAGAAUCCAACAGCACAAAAGAAAUAGACUUCAAAGGUAUCAAAGAUAGAAGAAAUUAUACCUCAUCGUCAGCCUCUUCUUCAUCCUCAAAUUCCCCAUCCUCUUCAACUGCCUGCUCUUCCUCCCCCGUCUCCCCAUCAUCAUCCUCGUCAGCGUCGUCCUCCCCCUGCUCGUGUCCAUCAAUUUCCCCCUCCGUGCUUGUAAGCCGCCCAGUACUCUCGGGCUCCCCCAAAUCCCUCUCAUCGUUAUCUACUUCUUCUUCGUCCUCAUCCUCAUCGUCAUCAUCAUCGUCGUCUUCAUCAUCAUCCUCAACACCGUCCUCCACAUCGUCACUGUCAUCUAUCUCGUGGACUUCCACUACAUCCUCAUCAUCACCUUCGUCGUCCUCGUACACUUCCUCCACCGAAUCAUCUUCAUCCUCUCCUUCCUCCUCGUCAUCCUCUCCAUCCACAACCUCCACUUUAAAUCCAUUGGAAUGAUGAUGUGAACUGCCGGCACGACUCAAGCCGUUGAGGGCUCUUGACGUCUCGGCUUCCUCCUCGUCCGCGUCGCUCUCCUCAUCCUCAUCAACAUCCACAACCCCCUCGCUCCCCGCCCUCUGCCCAUUGCUCAGCCUAAACGGGUGGUCCUCGCCAUCUAUCUCUCCACUGCCGGGGUCAUCCUCCUCCUCCUCUUCAUCAUCCUCCUCGUCGUCCGACUCGGGGCGCUCAUUCUCCUCCGCAUCCAUCUUGUCCAAAUAUUUCAAUGACCUAAUCAAACCGAAAACCCGAGAUCGGUAAUCCUUAAUCCGCGUAACAGGACACUCGUAGAGAUCCAAUGAAACCAGCCUCAACUCUGCCAACGGUCUCAGGUCGUUAAUAUCUGAAAUCCUGUUAUUGGACAAAUCAAGGUCCCGUAGCGAUUCCAGCCCGGCUUCGACGAGGAAUUCGAGCCCACCGGCGAUCCGAUUAUCCGACAAAAUAAGCUUCUGCAAAUUCCGGAGGCGGGGGAACUGCUCCAGCGACGAGGCGCCGAUGUUGGCCAUAGAGAGGUGCUGGAGAUUGUGGAACUUUUCGAAGAGCGACGGCGGCGGCAAACGGCCGUGGACGCACUUCACCGCGCCGUCGAGCGUUAACGUCCGAACCAAAUCGAUGUCCGUUUGGCCGUCCAACGCCGUCUCCACGGCCCUCUCCCAGAUCUCAUCCAUUAUUCUGCCAAACCCUAUUUCUCCACUGCAUAAAAACACAUAAGGAAUCCUAUAAUCAAUUCCUAUAACGAUACAGCUUCUGGUGAAAUGGUAAAACCCUAGAAUUUGGCUUAUGUCAAAAUUCUCUCUCUAAAAUUCUCUGUGUAUGUUUCUGAGAUGCUGGCUCGCUAUAAGAUAUUGGAGGUGAGUCACCUCCGAGUUAGAUGAGUUAGGGUUAGUUGGAUUUGAGUUAAGUUUGACCGCGGUAGGGUUAGAUGGAGAGACAAAGGGCGUUUGACGAGUAAGUGAAUGUGAACCGUAGGAUUAGAAAAGCAAGGAUCGAUGACGUGGUUGAAUUAUUGACGGUUGCGAUGGACGAAUGGUGUGUUUGUUUUAAAUGGAAGGAAGAACAAUUUUGAGGCUAGAGAAAGUCACGCGCUCGGCAAGUCUGAUACGUCUCCUUGGGCGGUGUAAAUAGGGCAGCGCGCAGAAGAAUAUGCCCUUUAGAUUCCUUAUAUAUUACGAGAUUGCCAUUGGUAUUUUGAUAGGAGCGUUUCAAUACACGCACAAAUCAUGUUGGAGUGCCUGCUUACUUAAAAUAUGCUCCCUUCGUCCACAAUCAAUUUUUUUUUUUUUUUUCAUUUUAGUACGUUUAUAUUUUUUAAAAAAAAAAAUUCAUAACACAAUUUUCUUUUUUUAUGAAAUCUUUUUUUGUUUUUUGAAACCAUUUCACAACACAAUUUAUUAUAUAUAGAAUCCAAAUUCUAUUUCUCUACCACACAUUUUUAAACAUUACACCACAAUAACACUUUUCAUAUGGAACUCAAACUCCACUUACAAUCCUAUUUAUAAAUGUGGAAUCUAAACUUUACUUAUCCACCACAUAUUUUUAAACACUACCAUAUAAUAUUAUAUUUAUUGUGAGACUCAAAAUCCACUUACAACACACUCCUCUAAUUUUUCUUAAAACCCGCACCAAAAAAAUUUAAGUAACAUUAAUCAUUGCCGGAGGGAGUACAUUUUUAUUUUUAUUGCAAAAUCUACAUUUUAUUGAUGAGCUGAAAUUGUUACUUGCAAGUCUGUCUUUAGUAGCCCAUAUUAGUUCAGAUAGUAAAAAUAACCAUGGUUUAUAUGAUUGUUUGGUAUUUAAAAUAAAUAAAUUGUAAAAUUCGGGAUUAGAGCAAGGCUCACGCUAAAACACUACUCCAUUCGUUCCGGUGUAAUAAACUUAUUUCUUUUAAGUACGUAGAUUAAGAAAAAUACUUACUUUUUGAAUGAAAAGUGGUGUGGUUCACACAACUUUGACAUUUUGAGCACAUUUCUGAUUUUACGACUUAUUAAAUUUAAGAGUGCAAAACUAAAAUGAAAAGUAAUUACAUAAGAAAGGCGGUUGGCACAACAAAUUUUUCAUUUCAAAGCCAAAUCAAAAUUGGCUGCUGAACACAGUGGAAAUUUAACAAAAUUCUGGCUCCACAAUAUUUCAAGCCAAAAUAUAGGAUCAUUUGUAACACUUCGGCUCCAAACUUAACGGAUGUCCCCACACAUCAAUACGAGUCUUUUCUAGCAUGUUUUGUCCUCACUCGCACGCUUCCGGGGAAACUUUUCAGGGGAUCACCCAUCCUGAAAUUGCUUCAAACCAAGCAUGCUUAACCUUGGAGUUUCUUCAACGUAAGCACUAGAAAAAAAAAUGCAUCUUGUUGAUAUGAGUAGCACUUAUCAAAUCAUUUAAGCUCUCCUCGAAUAUGUCGUCUCAUUCUAACAUAUUCUCAGAAUCCAUCUUGUUUGGAUGUGUUUCGAUUCAUCCUUGUGCCCCUCCGCUUGGAAGUCUUAAUCGGAGUCGCUCCUUGUCCGUGCCUCUUUUGGACCGGUGAUCACUUCGCACUUUAUCCCCGUGCGUCACAGCAUUCUAAAGCUUCCCAACAAAUAAGCUUAUGUUUAUACACCAUUUUAGAUCUCCUUCUUAAUUCUUUCUCUUCAAAAACUUCACAACAUGCACUUCAAAGAUGUUAGUGAGCAACAAAAGAUGAUGGUUGUGCAAUUUCUUUUCCAAAACUCAAAGGAUGGGAAGCCAAUCUACGGCAAAAUGAAGGAAUGCAGCACCAAAUUCAACUUAGCGAGGCAGACGAUCACUCGUUUAUAGGCUGAAGCAAGGAAAUAAAAGACACAAUGCCAGAUUAUUAAUUUAACCACCAAAAGAUAAAUGCACAACGAUUCACAAAACGAGUACAAAUAGAUCUAGAACAGUCCAGUCUUUGAUACUUUGUAGAAGAGGCACAGUUAGGAAGCUAGCAAUAAGCAUAGAUUGUAGUAAGAGCACAGUGGGAAGAUGGGUUCAUCUAGGGUUAAUCAGAGCUCAUACACGUGUCCUUAAGCAUAUCUUACGACCCCAAUAAGCUUCUCUUAUUAAGGUUUUCUCUUCAAGUCUUAGAGCAUGAUAUGAUUGCUAAUAUUAUGAAAUUUAAGACUAUGCACAACAACAUACACAUAAAUGAGAAAUGGUUCUACAUGACAAAAGCUUCACAUCGGUUUUAUCUCACUCAAGAGGAGCCUGAACCACACAGAAGCUGUAAAAGCAAAAAAAUCAUCACCAAGGUGAUGCUUAUGUGCGCGAUUUGCAGGGCCCUUUUUGAUGAGAAUGCCAAUGUGUUUUUUGAUGGGAAAAUUGGUAUUUUUCCAUUCACACUAACUGUUCCAGCUCAGAGAAUGAGUAAAAACAGAAAUGCAAGGACACUAGAGACAAAGUCAAUAUAGUCCAUUUCCAAAGUGGUGAUCAAUGAGUGCUUGAUCAGUCAAGUAUGGAGAGGAAGAGAGACAUGCAUGCAAUGUAAAAGCCCACUUUAUUUUGUAGAAUUAGCAUGCAAAGUGUAACAUAUGUCAAAGCUUUCAAGUUUAUUGUUUUUUCAGUUUAUUCCAACUAUCAUGCCUAAAUGGCCACAAAGUGCAUCCAAGUUGAUUUUCAUUCAACAAGAUAAUACGAAGCCACACAUAAGUGAUUCAGACUUAAAGUUCAAACAUGUUGCCUCACAAAAUGGCUUUGAUAUUAAACUAGUUCACCAACCACCCAACUCACCGAACACGAAUGUCAAUGACUUGGGGUGGUUUAAGGCUAUUCAAAGCAUUCAAGAGGAGUCAGUUUGCACAAAUGUAGACCAAUUGGUGAAUGCGGUUUGCAAAAGCUUCUUAGAGCAUCCACAAUGCUUGCACCCAUAGUGGGUGCAAUAGAAUGGGUCCCACUUCUAUUGCACCCACUCCCACAAUGGUAUUGCACUCACUAUGGGUGCAAUAGAUUUUAUUUUAUUUUUGAAUUAGUUUUAUUCUAGUUUCCAUUUUACAAUAAUUAAGAAAUUAAAAUUUCAUUGAAUUAAAAUUCAAAUCCUACAUUGUUAGAAAUAAAAGAAAUACAAGAAAUUAAAAUCCUAAAUUACUUAAAUUAAAACAAACAAUAAAUAAAAAUCCUAAAAAUCUACGGGAUGUUGUGUCGUUGCUUGAUCUCCGCCACCUUGCACAUGUGAAACGCCAAUUCGUCGGGAUUCAUUUGAGAGGUGUCCCGGCUCAUCAACAUGCUAUCGGCGAGGUCACGUUGAACUUGGGAGAACGUUUCCAUUGCAUUCACCAUAUUCGCCAUGUACCCGAGAGCUUUUUGGUUAUCCUCCGACGUCUCUUCGGCCUUUUUCUUGCCUUUCCGCUUGUCUCUCUUGGCCGCCUUUUGGCCUUGGGGCCGGGUGGAGAUAGAGGCGUCACUAGAAGUCGUUGUGGGAAGACCGUCGGACCCCUUUGAUCGUUUGUCCGAAUGGACAUCGGAGUGAACAUCCCCGCCGAGACUUGAAAAUUUCUUCGACUCGCGCAAGAUCUUCCAUGCAUGCGAAUACCGAACGGAACACGGUACUCGGCUAGCCACAUUGCCUCUGCUUGCUCCAGGAUUUGAAUAUCACUCAUGCCUGAUUUCCAUUGAUCAUGGCAUUUUUUGUGCAUGGCCUCAAACCUCUUCGUAUCCUACGACACCCGUUGAAAGUGAGAUUUGAUUUGCGUGACGUCGCGUGAAAUAGAUCCUUUGGGCCUUUUAGCGUUGUACUCGGCGCAGAGGGAGCCCCAAAACUUCGCCCCUUUUUGAUCGACACCCACCACAGAGUCGUGGGUGUGCUCGCAAUACAAACGGCAAAUUAGCACCGUUUCUGCCGGAUAAUAGUUGCUACGUUUGGGCCGACCGGUGCUGCCUGCUGCUGCUGCUGCUGCCGGAGGAAGGAACCAGGCGGAGAAGGCGCCGGUGGAAGGGACGACCGGUGCUGGCAGGCUGAGAAGGCGCCGGUGCAAGGGACGACCGGUGCUGCCUACUGCUGCUGCUGCCGGAGGGAGGAACCAGGGGUCCAGGCGGAGAAGGCACCGGUGCCGGUGGGAGGCUGGAGGGAACCGUGGAGGAGGCUGGCUGCGAGUGGAAACAGGAAGGCCGAAGGUGGGGAUGGGAGGCGGCUGGGCUGCACGCUGGGAAGUGGGAAGGGUUCGAAAAGUGGGAACUGGGAAGGAAACCGCACGCUGACCGCCUAAAGUUCUAAACCCUAAAUUAAUUAAUUUAAAAAAAAACCGGUUAAUCGGUUUAACCGACCGGUUAAACCGAUUAACCGGUUUACUGGGAAAGUGCUAACCGAUAACCGAACCGAACUGGGAAAAACCGGUUAUCGGUUAACCGAUAACCGAUUUUUUCUGUUCGGUUACGGUUUUAACCGAAAAACCGACAACCAUGUGGUCACUUAGUCCAAUACUUAAACAAAGUAUUUUUAUCCUUACAAGGUUGCAUGAUGACAAAUGAAAGUGAAAGGGCAUAAUGCUUACAAACUGCCUCAGAUGAGCAAUGAUGCUCUCAUAAGACAGAAUGCAUUGCCCAUCAUAUUGGAAGUAGACAAGCAUCUAGUAGAUGAGUGUAUCAUGCACAUGAUACACUCAUGGGAAGAAGGAAAAAUGCAUGGCAUCAUGGAAGACUUGGGCUAUGAACAUCAAGCUCAUAUCAAUUUCAUGUAAGACUAAACAUUAGACUCUUUUUGAGCUAUCGGGGUCGUAUUAUCAACUGGACCUCGCGACGGUCAAUUUGGGCGAGAAUAUGAAAGAAGGCUACUGUUCAGCCGAUCCUCAAUCGAGGCCGGCGGCGGGGGACGAUGAAUGCAAAAAAAUGGGCGCCAUUCUACACGCUCGAAGAAGCCGACCUCAGAGCUGUAUUUGGAUCGAGGAGACGAACGAUGCCAUUCAUGGCGUCGACCAAAAGUUGAUGCCUAUUGGGGGAGAGUGUUGGAGAAGAUCAACGCAAUGGUGUUCAAGCUGUUCACAGUCCAACGGGUGAAAAGUUAUUGGGGCGUAUCACAGCCGAUGUGAAGCUUUGGUAGGCAACAUGGGUUAAAGCCCAUGCCAAGUGGCCAUAUGGUCAUAGCGACGACAUGAUCCGGGAGAAGUUGCAAACCUUGUACACAUCCAGAAAUAAGAGCGUUCAAUUCGAACGGUGGAAUGUGUUGAGAAUUAUUCGAGAACUGAAAGUUCAAGUCCUUGUAUCUCGAGAGCGAAGUUCAUUCCUCAAAGAGGACAAAAAUGUCGGAGAAUGGUGAUUUCACAGCAUCAGCGUUAGGCAAAGAAAUUUCUUCUACCCCACUAAUAGGUAACAAGGUGGUGGCGAGGGCGACGGUCAAGUGCAAAUGAUCACAAACCUCGAUGCCCUCCACCGAGUUCUUGAACUAUAUGGGCGAGACAUAAGUAAAUCUCACUGCAAUCGUCAAAGUCAAUAAGGAGAAGAAUCGGCUCAAGCGCAAAGUGCUAGGCAACAAAAUUUUGUUCAUGAAUACAUUGAGAAUGACACCGAGCAACAAGAAAUACAUGUACAGUGGGUGGUGACAUUCUCGCACGAAGUGGAGCCGGAGAUGACUGAUUUUCAUGUUUUUAAUUUAUGUUGUUUAAAAUCAUGUAAUUUAAAUUUAUGUUAUUUAAAUUAAAUCAAAAACUCAAAACUAGUUCAUAUGAGUUAAUAUAAUGAGUCAACCUAAUACAACAUUUGACUCAUAAGUGGACCUAUAGCGUGGAUAAGUCAAACAUUGACUCAACCAAUGUGAAUGAUCUUAUGUAAUAUUGAUAUUCUUUCAUAUAUUUUAGGCAAAAAUAUCAAACAAGCUUUUAUUAUCGAUCUUUCACAAUGAUAUCUAGAAUUAUUAUAAAAUAUAAAUAUAACGAAAAUCCAUCAUUAAUGAAAUAUCUACUUUAAAAAUGUAUGAAUCCUAAUAAUUCAAGUCCAUUAAUUACACUAACAAUUUUCAUCUUAUUAAGGAAAUUAUGACACAAAAUCAACAAGAGGCAGAAAAAUAUAAGAUUAAUUGCAGAAUCAUUGAAUUUUUCACUCAAAAUCUCAUAAAAUUUGUCAUCAAUCAGAAAAUUAUGUGUUUUUUUCGUUUGAUAUUUGAGACAUUUAACAACUGACGAGCCCAAGUUUUGUGCUCUUUUUCUUUAUUUUGUUUAGGUCUAGAUUGAGUCAUUUGUGUGUGUUUGUGCUUGUUUUUGUGUCUGGGAGGACACUUGUUUGGCAGGGCCUCGUGGAUGCUAUAAUGGGCAAGAUGGAGCAAA